rnacentral:tRNA from 1 species
GCUCCCUUGGUGUAGUUGGUUCAUCACGUUCGACUGUAAAUCGAAAGGUCUCUAGUUCGAUUCUGGAAGGGAGAA